AAGUUUAAAAUAAAUAUUUUAAUGUAUAUUUUAUUUUUCUUCAAACAGCCUGGAAACUGAACUGCUUCAUAAAACUUGUGCUUGAAAAGUGUCAUGGGACCCAUAUUAAGUUUCCAAAUUUGAUCUGCUGCACACAAGUAGCUUUGAAGAAGAAGGAUCCCAGCUUAAAGAAAAAUAUGUGUCACAUCCAUAAUUGUUUGACAUCAUCUUCAAGCACACCUGUGAGAAUAUUAAGGUCGUUGCUUAAAAAAAGUCCUGCAGAGAAGAAAUAUGUAUUGAAAGGUGUAAAUUUGCCUACAGGAUUCCUUGUUGCAAUGUCUUCAAAACAAAUGUAAAAAUGAAAGGAUUUCAGUGGUGAGCUCAUAAUGAUGGGAUCAAAAGGAAGUGAACUGGACUCUGAGGGACUUAACACAA